UCUCAGCAGAUUUUUUGCUUUGAGUUGCGAGCUAAAAUUUGGAUUAUGAGCCAGCUUCGGAUACCCCACCACUGGUUGGCGCAGCGAAUGUCACGGUGAAUGCCACAACAUCAGCCCAGCAUCACGUGUCUCACUCAUUCACUUUAUGAUUUGACAUACGAGUAAUUUGAGUUACGAGCUCCGUCACGGAACGAAUUAAACUCGUAAGUCAAGGCCCCACUGUAUUCACCCUUUCUCUAUAAUAGAAAUGUCAACCAAAUUCACGAUCGACAAUGACAGAUGGAAAUAGACAUAUGCAGUUGGUGCCAGCAAGAGCUUUAUAUGUAUCGCACAUGGUCGAGUCAUCUUAACUUUUUAUAUAUAUAGAAUAAACUUGCUUAUUAGACCUGCUUUCUGAUUUACCUAAACUUUUUCCAGCCCAGUAAAACACCCCAACUUCUCUUUCAGGUAAUUGUCAGCAACACAGCAGUAAAUAUCAACAUGAAGCAGAUUAUUAUUGUAGAUCACACAGGGAGAACAAAGGGUAAAAUAUUUAACUGCAGCAGUGUUUGACUAUAUUCUGCACAGUGAGGAAACCGGAAAUCAUUUUCAAGGUCCACCAUUUCUUCUUUUCAGUCCGGUCAAGUUUCUAAGCUUUCUAUAUCUCCAUUUUCCAGCUAAUGAAAAGAAAAUAGGAUUCCACUGAGUCUCCUAUCUACCUACUCCAGGACUUCUGUGAGGAUCAUAUGAGAUGAAGCAUGGGAAAACGCUUCACAGACAUUUGGUUACAGUGUAAAGUGUUUGCACCUGCUAUAAAGCAAGUCGUGUCCCUGGGCUGAAGAAACUGCUAGGGCAAAGAAGCCAGACAUUGCUACGUGACAUCAUUACCCGGUGCCCACAGCGAACGUUUCUGGGCUGGCCAUGGGGUCUCAGCAGUGUUGGCUGUGAUUUGGUGGGCUGUUGCUCUGGGGUGGUGCCCAGUGUUGCUUUGGGGAUGCCCAGUGUUGCUUUGUUGGCCAGGUCCGUACUGCUGUUUCUCUGUAAAUGGCAAGUGUGUGUCACGGCAGCUCCUGUGUUGAGUGUCUGACCCCCUGGUGGUCAGUGUGCAUCAUAGUGACCGGUCAGAAAGUGGGAAGGACACUUAGCAUAUUAGCCUUUUCUGUAAAUAGAUGACUGCAUAGUGGGCAUUUGUCAUAUUUCUGGUUGCCCAGCCCCCAAAUUUCCUUUAGAAGUUUGAGGAAUAGGCCACUGUGUGAGGCAGGACCCUGGUAUCAGUUUUUCAUGAUCACUGACUGACUGGGACUCACGCAUGACUGGUGAGCCAAUCCCUCCUGGAUUGUGAUGCUGGAGAUAGGAGUCGAGAAAAGCAGGCAAUGUGUAAAAUUUAUGCUGGUAGCAGUGACAUCCAGUAUCUUGUAGUAGUGACAGCAGCUGGGUCAGCUAUGGCACCCAGUUCCCAGGGCAUUGCUAGUGUCCAGCAGUAGUAUCUCAUGGCAUGGUUUCCGCUGUGGGUCUGGCCACCCAGCCUCCCUUGGUGCCUGCCUGUAUUUCUAGCCUGACUCUCUAGCCUUUUCAUUGAUUCUUUGAGCUCCCACUACUCUUUAAAAAAAAUUUAUUUUCUGCUUUAGUCAACUAGCUUCAAUUUUUGUUGCUUGCAACCAAAAGACUAACACAUAGCCUGGCUAACACAUAGUCUUUAGGUAAUUUUCAACCCAAAAGAGUAUGAUGCUAUUGGAUAAAGUCAUGGUCAAAUUUGCAACUGGGCCCUGGCCGGUAUGGCUCAGUUGGUUGGGGUUCGUCCUGUGCAUCAAAGGUUGCUGGUUCGAUUCCUGGUCAGGCCAUAUGCCUGGGUUUCUGGCUUGAUCGUGGGUGGAGGGUGUGCAGCAAAGCAGCUGUUUGAUGUUUCACUUUCACAUCGAUGUUUCUUUCUCUCUCUAAAAAUCAAUAAAAAUAUUUUUAAAAUUU